AAUACGUAGGUGGCGAGCGUUGUCCGGAUUUACUGGGCGUAAAGAGCGCGCAGGCGGCUGGGUAAGUCCGAUGUGAAAGCUUCCGGCUUAACUGGAAAACGGCAUCGGAAACUGCUCGGCUUGAAGGUGGGAGAGGGUAGCGGAAUUCCCGGUGUAGUGGUGAAAUGCGUAGAUAUCGGGAGGAACACCAGUGGCGAAGGCGGCUACCUGGCCCAUUCUUGACGCUGAGGCGCGAAAGCUAGGGGAGCGAACGG
rnacentral:rRNA from 1 species